CGAGAAUUACAUGGGCAGCUUUUGAUGCUAAUCCGGUCAGGUUCGAAAGAAAGCAGCCGUAACAUGAAAUACUGGGUCGUGUAAUUCUCCUUA
rnacentral:SRP_RNA from 1 species